GUGUGCCAGGAGCCGCGCCGGCCGGGAGUUGGGUGAGCUGGGGGGCGCCCGGGCCGCGCCGCCCGCCCUAGCUGGGCUAGUGCUGCACAUUUCAGCCAGCCCCCUCCCCAAGACCCCAUUCCCAAUCCCCUUCUCAGCUCCCUCGGGCCGGCAGAGCGGCUCUCAUCAGGUCAGCGGCGGACGCCGGGAAGCGGCCCGGCUUGGGAGAGUAAAAUGCUGUUGAAGACCCACGGACGUGACUGCACCCCUCACUAACUGGUCACUGGUUUGGGGAGGAACACCAAUGUCCCAGUGGAACCUUGAGAACACCUUGGAGUCCUCCUCUUCCUCUCUGGACCUCAGCCAAACUGUUUUUCUGGCUUUGCCUGCCCAGCUGCUCCAAGCCAGGCUGGUGAAGGAGGAGUCUCCUGUGGUGAGCUGGAGAUUGGAGCCUGAAGAUGGCACAGCUCUGCAAUUCAUCUGUGGCUGUGGCGGUGACGGUGAUGGAGACUGCAGCUCAACAGGAGCAGUAGGAGGAUACCCAUGGAGGCCAGGAUCAUCACAAGCCUCAGAAAUGCUCCAGUUGGCCAGGUGGGUGGCUCACGCCUGUAAUACUAGCAUUUUGGGAGGCUGAGGCAAGAGGAUGGCUUGAGUCCAGGAGGUGGAGAUCAGCCUAGGCAACAUGAUUCCACCGAGGACCCAAUGGAGAAACACCUCAGGGAGAAGAAAAAGGAGGCCCCAUGGAAACUGAAGGAAGUUUCAGGAGUCAAGGAGAACGGUGUAUGUGGGGCAGUCCCUCCCGUGUGGACGAAGAAUCCAGGUGAUGAGGAAUGUGCCGCUGUGUCGCUGGCUUUCCUGCACACAGGCAGCCGGAGUGGAGCUUCCUGUUGUGACUGAGGACCAGGCUGUGGUGGUGAAGUGGUUGCUCCAGGUAAGGAGAGACGGGCACAUUCUGCAGUCCCUGGGAGCCGCCGCGUUCUCUCUACGUGGGGUGGAGUUGUGUGCAUGGGGCUGGUGUGUGUUGGCCAGAAUCCUAUUUAACUGGAGGGAGCCUCACAGCUACUGGCCAGGGCAGCUGCUUCACACUGGUUGCAGCAGAGAGGGAGAGGAUCCAGUUCCAGUGUAGGAUGAGCUAAGCAAAGGGAGGGGCUGCCCCAGAGGCCAGUUGUUCCUUGCAAAUCUCCCUUGUGACCCAUAAGAUGUCACUUUGCUUGUUUCUCUGAGAUAGGCUUGGACUCAUCAGUGCCAAAGUCUGUGACCUGCCGCCCAUGGGUGGAGGGAUCCUGGCCAUGGCUGGUCACUGUGAGGAUAGGGGUCGUGUCCUCCUUGUUCCUUCUUAUCCCAGAGCUCAGCCCCAGGCAGCCCAUCUUGGGGCCCCAGUGAUGUUCUAGUACACACAGCCGAGUGCUGAGAUAGACCAGAAGUGUGAAAAGGCUUCCUGCUCACCCUCCGCAGUCUGCUGAGCCCCACACAUUUCCAGGUUCCUGUGUGGAUUCUGAUUCAGGGUUAGGGAGAAGUGCCUGGGCUCCCCUCUCUGUCUGCUGUUAUGGUCCUGUCUGCUCCUGGAUCGUGAAAUUAAGGAUUAAAAUAGUAAAUAUUAUGUGUAGCUCACCAUAUUUUAAAGUCCAUUAAAAUAACUGCAGUAGGAGCAUAGGUAUUUCUAGGAAAGUUAGAUGACAUAGUAACAUUUUUACAAAAAAAAGGAUAUUUACCAGGCCUCUUUCUGUGAGGAGACCUUGUCCUGGAGUGAUGUCCUGCAUUUGUGUGCUGCCUGUGUGAACACACUGCCUACUUCACAGUGAUGAGCGUGGCUUAGCCAGAGACCCAAGGCUGUGUCUCCCAGGGCUCUCCUGAUGGUCUCCUCUGCCUCCUUCACCACCAGGGAGGGUGGCCCAGCAGCAGCUCGGUUUGUGCUCUCACCCACCUCCUCCACACAUGCCAGCCCUGUGUGCCCAGCACCCAAGGCUGCCAGAGGUCCUUCAGCAGCUCCCACAGCUGACAGUGACUCUAUGUUUCCUAGCGAUGGUGGCCAGUGAGAUGUUUCCAGAAAUGACCCUAGCUCUUUGCCAGGUCCUGCCUCCGUCCCAGCUGCCACUCUGUGAACUGCCGUUUGACACUGUGCAGAGCCAGGAGACCAGUGAUGAAGACGGGAGGCGACCUUUGCUGCAGUUCUCAAGAAGCUUCACCAGGUUUACCUUGGCCCAUUUCACAAGUGAGGGAACUGAGGCAUCCAUGGUCAAUGAACUCUGGUGCUGAGGGAAAGGACGCAGGAGCUCCCCAGCCUGGGUCCUCUGGUUUGCUCCAGCCCCUUCUCUGGGCCAGUGGUGAGGGUCCAGGGGUGGGGCUGAGGAGGGCUCCCAGACGAGGGAGGUGGCCCCAAGCCUGCCCAUUCACAGGUAAAGCAUCUGCCUCAGGCUCCAGUGCCCUGGGGACAGCCUGGCCCAGAUACAGGAGUGACACGUGGAACUGUGCUCAGAGGCUGAAAUAGGAGCCCCGGGGUCUCAGCUGCUUUCUCAGAACAGGGCUCCUUUCCAAGUCCCAGCUCACCCUGGGAGAAGGAACAGGGGCAGAGUGGAGCACAGCCCAGCCCUCACCUUGACGCUUCUCUCCAUCCUUUUGGAGUGGAGGGGGCUGCGUGUCUAUUGUGACAGCCCCUUCCAGGGGGUGCCGGGAGACCAUUUCCUGGUGCUAGAGCUGUCCCCCCAGCCCCCACCCUGGUUGUGCCCUCUGUCCACCCCACCUCCCGCCUCUCCACAGCUUUUUCCUUGUGAGCGACUUAGGAGAAUCUACGGCAGCACCUGUGGGCAGCCCAGGAGCACUCCUGGGGUAGCCUCAGCUCCUGCCGGUCUGUGCUCACCCUGGGGAGACAGCAGCAGAGACCUCACAAGCUGUCACCUGGCAGGGAGAGGCAGCAGUCAGGGCCCUGUGCGGUGACUUCUUCCACACGCCUGUGUGGUGAGGUGCAGGAGAUUGAGAGCUGGCUACCGGACAAGGAGCAUAACGUGGCCACAAGGGACUACAGCGGUGGGGCUCUCUCCCCCUGACCAUCUGUGCCUGGGCCUGCCAGUGCCAUCUUCUGUGCUCUGUGGGGUGGGGUCUUUGGCCCCUGGGAGGCCGUGGGUCAGUGUGACUCAGAAAGGUCAAGCUCACAGGUCCCCUGGGGUCUCUCACCCAGGCACUGUGCCCCUGGGGGCUGGGAGGGGUGAGAAAGUCCCAGGCCUCCCAGAGCCCACCUGGCUCCCCCACCAGAGUGGCAGCCUGGCCCAGGCUUGGGGCUGAAGGAGGUGAUGCUGUGCCCCCUGAGGCGGGCUCCACCUCCCCCAGGAGACCUUGGAGGACAGGCCCUCUCCUGACCCAGGCUCCAGGACACUUGGCAGUGCCUGAAGUCCUGCCUUUCCUCCCCACUUUGGUCUUACCUCCCUAUGGUGAGGCCCAGGCACAUGGAUGACUCUGAGCAGACUUGGACCUCCAUGGAGCCCUAGCCUCAUAGGUGUAUGAUCUUGGGGGCCUCAGGGACCCCGUUCUCCCCUUCCCCAGAGCCUGGAGGCUGUGAAUCCUGUGGAUCCCUGAGCUGUCCUCUCUGAGACCCCAGGCGAGGAGGGAAUGUGUGAGAGCGGGCAGUGAGGUCUGUGUUCCCGCAGCUCCUCUGUGCUUGGCUUCUGCGUCCUAGAGAGCCGGCGGCAGGGAGAUGGCACAGGCAGGACCUUGAGGGCGGCAGUUCAGGUGGCAGCACAAAGUACAGCGGCCCAGGCACCACCUCAGAAAGGUCACCUGUGCCCCUGGACAGAAAGAGAAAAAGAAACCAUGUUAUUUCCUAGAAUUUAAUGAAUGAGCUGGGAGAUGCUGGGGCAGCACCAGUGGGCAGCCCACAGGUGAUCUCUGCAGGAGACUCGUCUGGCAGGUCACAAACAGGACGCCCCACAGAGCCUUGGAACAUCGUGACUGAGGAAGGGCUCACAUCAUGUUUACUCCCCAGCCUCCCCACCACCUGCAUCUGCAAGGGCUCCUUGGACCCUGGUCAGAAGUUCUUUUGGUGAAUGAUCCUGCAGACAUCACAUGGGCUCAAAGGGCAUCAGAACCCCAGCUGAGAGGAGCCUCAGCAUCAGACGCAGCCGCCCAGCCUGCCUGCUGCAGUAGAGAUCGUACGACUGACAGAAUGGAAGCUUUGUGACACCAAGAGCCCACCCACCAUGGACUGAUUGUGGCCGGUUUACAGAGGCUGUGCACUUGUGUGCCUGUGUGUCCUGAAAAGACCUUUUGAGAUGAUGUGGAAGUGAUGUUGUGUAACUUCCAAAAUUAUGUUGGAAACGCCAUGAGUGUCUGCCUGCUUCACUCGGGACACUCACCAGUGAAGCCCUUGGCCACCAGUUCAAAGCUCUUGAGUGUCCUGAGACU